GCCAGAUUUGACAGUGUGUACCUGUAGCCCCAGCUACUGGGGAGGCCAAGGCAGGAGGAUUGCUUGGGCCUAGGAGUUUGAGGCCAGCCUGGGCAACAUAGUGAGACCCUGUCUUAA
rnacentral:sRNA from 1 species